CUAUAAAAGCAGAACUAUCCCUCCACUCUGUACUACAACACCUGUUCACUAUUACCUUCAAGAGCUCCACUGCACCAAGGAAGAACACAGACACAGCAGUAAUGGAUAGGUGUAUACCACACUGUGGGGACAAAAACAAAGGUAGUUCCAUUGGCAACGUACAUGGAGGUGGAGGCAAUGCGAACAUUGGCAAUGUAGCGGAGUGUGGAGGAAGUCACAUUGGCAACGUACACGGUGGUGGAGGCAACGAGAACAUUGGCAAUGUAUCAGGAGGUGGAGGAAGUCACAUUGGCAACAUAGAUGGGGGUGGAGGCAACGCCAACAUUGGCAACGUUGGAAAACCAUCUGGAUGCCAUUAGGGCCGCUUCACCAAAAGCCUGUCAACAUCUCUGCUCACUCUGGGGUGAAGAUUAUGAAAACUGGGUGCAUUUUAAUGUUCUUAGUUCUAUCAGAUUCACUCUAGGAGUAUGGUUUUAAUCAGCAUUGUAACCGUUCUUGUUUUUGUCAAAUAAAUAAAUGUUACAACACUGA